AUGGCUCAGAUUGAACGCUGGCGGCAGGCCUAACACAUGCAAGUCGAACGGUAACAGGAAGCAGCUUGCUGCUUUGCUGACGAGUGGCGGACGGGUGAGUAAUGUCUGGGAAACUGCCUGAUGGAGGGGGAUAACUACUGGAAACGGUAGCUAAUACCGCAUAACGUCGCAAGACCAAAGAGGGGGACCUUCGGGCCUCUUGCCAUCGGAUGUGCCCAGAUGGGAUUGGCUAGUAGGUGGGGUAACGGCUCACCUAGGCGACGAUCCCUAGCUGGUCUGAGAGGAUGACCAGCCACACUGGAACUGAGACACGGUCCAGACUCCUACGGGAGGCAGCAGUGGGGAAUAUUGCACAAUGGGCGCAAGCCUGAUGCAGCCAUGCCGCGUGUAUGAAGAAGGCCUUCGGGUUGUAAAGUACUUUCAGCGGGGAGGAAGGGAGUAAAGUUAAUACCUUUGCUCAUUGACGUUACCCGCAGAAGAAGCACCGGCUAACUCCGUGCCAGCAGCCGCGGUAAUACGGAGGGUGCAAGCGUUAAUCGGAAUUACUGGGCGUAAAGCGCACGCAGGCGGUUUGUUAAGUCAGAUGUGAAAUCCCCGGGCUCAACCUGGGAACUGCAUCUGAUACUGGCAAGCUUGAGUCUCGUAGAGGGGGGUAGAAUUCCAGGUGUAGCGGUGAAAUGCGUAGAGAUCUGGAGGAAUACCGGUGGCGAAGGCGGCCCCCUGGACGAAGACUGACGCUCAGGUGCGAAAGCGUGGGGAGCAAACAGGAUUAGAUACCCUGGUAGUCCACGCCGUAAACGAUGUCGACUUGGAGGUUGUGCCCUUGAGGCGUGGCUUCCGGAGCUAACGCGUUAAGUCGACCGCCUGGGGAGUACGGCCGCAAGGUUAAAACUCAAAUGAAUUGACGGGGGCCCGCACAAGCGGUGGAGCAUGUGGUUUAAUUCGAUGCAACGCGAAGAACCUUACCUGGUCUUGACAUCCACGGAAGUUUUCAGAGAUGAGAAUGUGCCUUCGGGAACCGUGAGACAGGUGCUGCAUGGCUGUCGUCAGCUCGUGUUGUGAAAUGUUGGGUUAAGUCCCGCAACGAGCGCAACCCUUAUCCUUUGUUGCCAGCGGUCCGGCCGGGAACUCAAAGGAGACUGCCAGUGAUAAACUGGAGGAAGGUGGGGAUGACGUCAAGUCAUCAUGGCCCUUACGACCAGGGCUACACACGUGCUGCAAUGGCGCAUACAAAGAGAAGCGACCUCGCGAGAGCAAGCGGACCUCAUAAAGUGCGUCGUAGUCCGGAUUGGAGUCUGCAACUCGACUCCAUGAAGUCGGAAUCGCUAGUAAUCGUGGAUCAGAAUGCCACGGUGGAUACGUUCCCGGGCCUUGUACACACCGCCCGUCACACCAUGGGAGUGGGUUGCAAAAGAAGUAGGUAGCUUAACCUUCGGGAGGGCGCUUACCACUUUGUGAUUCAUGACUGGGGUGAAGUCGUAACAAGGUAACC
rnacentral:rRNA from 1 species